UUCUUUUAAAAGAAAAAGGAUUAAAUUAUUUUAUGAGUAAUUCCAUUAUAAUGGAAUUAAAAUGUCCUAUUAGAAUGGCUUCAUGUUUUAAAAAAAAAUAUAUUGAGACUAUUUAUGUGGAAUUGUGUUAUAGAAUGAUUAAGUAUAUGAUUUACUUUAUCAAAUGAGCUUGGGAUUUAAUUGAGAUAUUAAAUUGCUAAGCAUAUGUUUAUAAAUGAUUUAUUUAUUUAAGUGAUGAAAAUGUGCGAAGUAUGAGAAAGCAUGAUUUAUAAUGAUUAAAUUUUCAGGGUGAUAAUAUAUAGCUUGUUCUUAAUUAAUGGAGUACUUGACUAAAUGACGGGUGUAGAGGGAGGUUAUGGAUUAUGUACAUGUUGAUGUUCGAACAAAUGGGUUCGAACCUAUAUGAUAGUUACAUGAUAAUUGGUUACAUUUUAUUGAUUGAAUGAAACGAGAUUAAUAUGGAUGCUAGAACCCUAAAACAUUAAAAGAUACCUUAGGCACGUAGAAUUAGACUUUGUCUUAUGACAAUUUCUUCACGAACUUAUCGACUCUUCAUCAAUGAAGGUCCGGGCGACAGAAAGUGAAGCAGAAGAAGAAACGACUCCACGCCAGCUUUAAGAACAAUUGAGGUUGAGCAGGCGAUGGAAUGGAUCGGUGUUGAGCGGAUUUCUCUUUUGAUGUUUAUGUAAUGAAACCUUGAGUAUGCAUCUCCAUAUGCAUAACUCACACGUUUUUCCGCUGCAAACACUCUGAAUUUGUUAUCGUAUUGUGGAACUUAUUACCCCUUCAUUUUGUUUAACUUUCAUUUGGGGUUUAGUCGUUAUGGCUGGCUCAUUUGUUAAUUACCCAAGUGGUUAUAUAUAUAUAUAUACCACUAGUUUGUUGUUAUUAAUGUUGGUUAUUUAGUAAAUCCCUUUUAAAUUU